rnacentral:lncRNA from 1 species
UAGAUCUUGUACAUUUUCCUUUUUCUUAAUUAAAUGUGGGUGUCUUCUCCCUUACCAUUUAGGGAAAAAAAAUCUGUGAAGAUGGGGAUUCAUCAACAAAACACUCAGAAAAAAUAUGGAGACGUGUGUCUAGAAUUCUGACCAUUCCAACCCGACCUGAUUCGGACUUAGUAUAUAGACUCGAAUGACUGAACAUAUACUCAAG